rnacentral:lncRNA from 1 species
AACGCCCUUUGCACUGGCUUACGGUACUGAAGCCGUAGUCCCAGUCGAGUUGCAAAUCCCUACUCAUCGAGUCCAGUUUGUUAGCGAGAACACUAAUGAUGACAAGAUGAGGAGCAACUUGGACGCUCUCGAAGAAAUUAGGGAAGAAGCCCAAGUUCGAACUACCGCUUACCAACAACGAGCAGCAAGAUAUUACAACAAAAAGGUCAGAAAAAGAAGUUUGAAAGUGGGAGACUAGGCCUUGAGAAACCUGGAAGCUACAGGAAAAAGAGCGGCAGCGGGCAAGUUAGCACCGACCUGGGAAGGACCAUUUAGGAUAGCAAAAGUGGUCAGGCCAGGGGUAUAUCGGAUCGAAGAUAUGCAAGGAAACCCUGAACCCCAUGCCUGGAAUAUCCAGCACCUAAAGAGGUAUUUCCCCUGAUAUAUUUGUAUAGAAAAACAUUGUACUCUGACAAACAUGAAUGAAUAAAAUUGUUUACACAAUGAAAUUGUCUUUUAUGAAUAAUAAUCCUCCAUAAGAAAGAAAGAAAAGGGCUCAGAAAGACCUCUUGGGAGAAGGAGACCGGGAUCCCUAAGAACUCCCGGGUAAACAAACAAGACCGGGAUCCCCUAAGAACUCCUGGGUAAACAAACGAGACUGGGAUCUCCAAGAACUCCCGGGUCAACAAACAAGACCGGGAUCCCCUAAGAACUCCCCGGUAAACAAACAAGACCAGGAUCCCCAAGAACUCUCGGGUCAACAAACAAGACCGGGAUCCCCUAAGAACUCCUGGGUAAACAAACGAGACCGGGAUUCCCAAGAACUCCCGGGUCAACAAACAAGACCGGGAUCCCCUAAGAACUCCCGAGUAAACAAACAAGACCGGGAUCCCCUAAGAACUCCCGGGUCAACAAAUAAGACCGGGAUCCCCAAGAACUCCCGGGUGAACAAACAAGACCGGGAUCCCCUAAGAACUCCCUGGUAAACAAAUGAGACCGGGAUCCCCAAGACCUCCCGGGUCAACAAACAAGACCGGGAUUCCCUAAGAACUCCCGGGUAAACAAAGAAGACCGGGAUCCCCUGAGAACUCCCAGGAGAACAGACAAGACUGGGACCGAGAUCUCCAGGAAAAACAAAACAAAAACGGUCAGUGAAGGUCUUAAGGGCCUCCCAGAGCAAAGAUUCCCAAUAUCAUAUGAGGGGACAACUCGUAAACAUACAGCUCCGACCUCCCGAGAAAGAUGAGCUCAAAGCCACCAACGAAAAACUAGAUUCCGACCUCCCGAAGAAGCUCAGAGCACAAUAGCCAAAAGGCACCAACCUCGAGAAAUGACCGCUGAUACUAAACUAGCUCAACUAGCCUAGAGAGAGGUCUAGACAGCAAAGAGCAAAAGGCCGAGUUUCUAGCCCGGACAAACUUGCAACAUGAAACACGCAGGUAAAAUGAAGCUAAGUAUAAAGGACAUAACAGAGAACCGAGCUCCCUCUAUGAAAAGGUCCGUAAAGACAGGAACACAUAAGAGAGUAAACGAAGGCAAAGGACUAUGCUCACAGCUCGAAUCAGUUUGCCAUGAUCAACUAUCCGAGCUCAUAACCAAGAAGAAGGGUAAAAUUGUAUAAGGGGUAACUCGGGGAGAAACCCAAUGGUAUGAACAGAAGAGACUUCAACUCUAUUCCUUGACAAGUCAGAACUAAAAAGCAAACAGGCAGCCCUGCUAGUCAUCAUUAAAAGGAGCGUAGGCAAAUGGCGGAAUCACAGUUCUGAGGGGCACAAAGGCAAAAAGAAGAAGGCAUCACAGAGGGCCCCUCAGGAGAAAGUACGAGGUAUGCAGUUUAAGUGUUCCAAUUAAGAUCAGAAACGAUAAAUUCCAGGAUGUAUGAAAAAUGAAAAGUAGUCCAGGUAAAAGAAAUUAAAGUUUCAUUAAGAGAAAAGGCUAUUACAAUCUAUUCAUUAAGGCAAAACAGUCCUCAAGGGACUCACAUUUCUGAGAAUGUCCUCAUCUACACUAUCCUUAUUUACAUUUACAUCUGAAGGAGAUUUAACAUCCUCCAGCUUAGAUUUCUCAGCGCCAACAAAAGGUACAGUCUCUAGCCCUGGGUUGGGGUCUUCCUUUACAUGCUCAGGGUUGUCUCUUUCAGACCCGAGAGCCUCCAUAUCAUCCCCGUCCGACUCCGACUCUUCCCCAGAAGACAGAGGUAACUCAGCUGCAUGGCGAGGGGUUCCCCUAGGCAAAGGAAAAUCAUCUUCCCCAUACAUCACUGGCUCGCCGUCAGAAUCCACUUCAGAAAUUCGAAGUUUUGCUACAGGAGUAUCAGGAGCAUGUCUAGCCUCUCUUACGCCCCGGUUGUAGCCAGUCGUAUACAUACGGAAGGCUUUCUGCCAAAUAGCACUCUUCAUCUCCGCAGAAGCCUUGUACUCGUCAAGAUGUGAUUCGCAGGCCUCAGCUAUAACUACCUUCAGCUCGGAAGAAUCCUUAUAAUCUUGAAGGUGAGCCUCACAGGCCUGCUCAAUUUUUCUUUUCAGCUCGUCAGACUCCUGGUACUCCGCUAGACAUUUCUUGCACUCCAGCUGGACCUUGUCUUCGGCAUGUUUGACUACCUCGAGCAGGGCUGAACAUUUAUGUUCUAAAGUCCUGACUUCAUGGUUAAGCUGUUGAUGGCGAAGUUUGGACUCCUCCGCCAAUGAAGCCAGAUUUCUGAUACGUUCAGAACUUGUGCUCAGCUCCUGCUCAAGGACCUCCACCCGAGCCAGGGCCCUCUCUUUUUGAAUAUUCACCUUGUUUAGGUGAACCUUAAGCCCUUCAAAAUCAGCCCUCAAGGCCUCACAUCGACGCUGGAUCUCAUCCUUCUGAUUCACAGCCUCGUCCCUUUCACGAAAGGCAUCCACCAUAGAGGAUAGCUACUUCGAAACUUCUUCACUUCUGGCCUCCGCUGCAGCCGCCCUCUCAUCAGACUCCUUGAGAACCCUGCGAGUAUGAGAUAACUCUGCUUCCAGGGACUUGGUGUGCUCCGCCGCUUCAGCCGCCCUCCUCUCAGCUCUUUUAAAGGCCUCCAAUGCAGAAUGCAACUCCACCUGGAGGGACUGGGUAUGCUCUCAAGCAGCGGUGAGGUUGCCUUUGGCGUCGCCAGUAGCAGAUAAGUUCUCUUCCAGGCGUGCCUCCUCAAUCCGGCGAUCCACAGACUCUCGGAGAGAAUAGUCGCGGGCAUCUACCUCCAUGAAGAGGCCCAUCACCUAGUGCAAAGGAAAAAAUCGUUAAGACAAAGAAAACCAGAAUGAAAACAAAGGGGGUAACUUAGCUUACCAUCAGGAGCAUCUCUCUGAUCAUAUCUCUGAGCUCCCCGCGAGGUCGGGAACGGAACGCUGCUUGCUCCCUAGUGGAGCUGGCUAAGAGACCUAUGAGAGCAAGCAAGCGUGGAUCCGAAGCCUCCAAAACGCCUCCGAACAUUCGUUCUUUGACAAUCUCAGCAACCACACUCGCUGGAGACUGAUGAGUGAUAUCCUCUGUGUUCAAGAUGUCGUUGUCAGGAGCUGACAGCAGUGGUAUCACAGGGACUUCUUUCCCCUUUCCAAUCAGAGGGAGAGCAGGAGCGGAUCCCUUAGAAGCUUUGGACUUCUUCCGAGCUGGAACUGGGGUUGGCACUUCGAGAGGGGCAUGGCGUUUGUCCCCUACCUUCCCUAUGACGCCCGCGUCCUUGGCAAGGUCGGACCCCACUUCUUCAGGGGCAUCUAUGAUAGGAGCCUCCGGGACACCGUCCUCAACAAGAACGACCUCCAGCCCCGUCCCAGGAGCCUCCUCUUCGAUAGUGGGGGAUCCAAACCUUCCCCUUGGUGCCUCCUCAACAGGAAAAGCAAGAUCCGUCCUCGUCUGCCCAAUACCCCCUGCCUGCUCCACGACAGCUAGGGGAGCUUCCUCUGCAUCCUCCGUAGAACCCUGACCCGACUUGGAUUCCUGAACAGGUUUCAGGGCAGGGGCCGACCUGCCACGACCAGACGACCGGGAGGGUCUGGCGCCGUGGGAGCUCGGCUUAGGAGCUCGAGAAGAAGCUCUGGCAAGAGGACGGCUAACCUUCUUAGAAGAAGCAAUAUGGGCCACCUCUGCAACGAUCUCAGACAUCUGACGCCCAGCCCGAAGAGCAUCAAAAGCGGCAUGCAUACUAGCACGAGACAAAACCAAGUUCUUCGAGGGCUUGAUCUCAUCCAUUUUAACGUUAGAAGCUGCCAAACAACACAAAAUCAGAAAGAGUUAUCGUACUUUCUAAUAUCACGUGCAAGGAAAAGUGGAGUUGUUAAACAAGGAAUUAUACCCGUGUCCCGAAUAUCCCUAAGAUUAGACACAAACAUACACUUCUCGACGUCAUACUUCUUGUCAACAGAAGUCAGUCGAAGAUACCCCACUUGCUCGGUGAGGCUUAGUUGGGGCAGGUCGUUGAUGCCUGGGGGGACAUCCUCCCAGUCUAGCCCCACUCCCCAUGAUACGUCGGUAUCUUUUCUCAGCUCUGCCACAAGGAAAUUCUCUACCCAUCCCUUUAUUGAAUCCUUGUAGCCCGUGAAAAGAGACAAUCCACCGCGGGGGGAAAAAUAAUAAAAUUUCUGAGUCGCCCUAACAAGGCAGAAGAAAGUGACAAAUAAACACGCUAUGGGUGUAAAACCCCAACUCAGGCAAAUGGAUUCAAAACAAGCCAUGAACAAAAUGGAAUUUGGGGACAACAUCCGGGGGGUUAUUCCGAAGUAUCGGAAAACCUCGAUGAAAAAAGGGGUAAAAGGGAAGGUCAGACCGAAAUCCCUCUGUUUAAGAAAAAAGACUAUGCAAAGACCCUUUUGGGGAUCUAUCAAACCAGGAGGGGAAGGUUUUGGAAGAACUAUCCUUUCAUUUCGGAGAGGAGCUCGAAUAAGGUAAAGUGGAGUAUCUAAAUAACUCCGAGAAAUAUACUUGGUUAUGGAAGAAGGAGUAAUGUGCGACUCGAGAUUAGCAACAUCGGGAAGCCUAGAAUCCUCCAUGGAAGAGUAAAAGAGCGUACCUGAAAUGCAAUAAGGCCGAGAAGGCAGAAAAAGUCGAAGGAAAACAAAGAGCAGACGAAAACAAAUUUCUUCAGAAGACAGAGAGAAUUUGAAAGGAAAGGCAAUAAUGAGACGAAGUGUCACUCUGAACAAUUUUGUCUUGGAGCGGCGCGGUCAUUAACUGUUCUCGAAGUUUACCCCCUCAUCAGUCGGACAAUAACUGACGAGAAGGUAAAGGGGCAAUAAUCGACGGCCGCUGGACUUCGCCACCCCUGUCAAGGGUUGGGCCCCCGGCAAUAGCCCAUCACCCGAAAGCAAUUAACGGCCGCUGGAUUCUCCUCACCCGGUCUAGGGCCAAGCCCAUGACAAUAGCCUGUCACCCGAAGGCCCACAGGCCAUCUGCAUAGAACAAACCCAACUCGCUUAAACCUUAAGACCGGGCUCCACUUGGACCUCUCACCCAGUGAUAAAGACCAAGCCUGCUCAUCACCUAAAAAGAUCAGGAGCUCGGCUCCCAGGUUAAAAACAGAACUCAGGGCUACGACUAGUCCAGCUCGGAGAAAGAUAAAUAAAAAACUCAAAGACGCAAGCAGAUGGAAGCAUGAUAAAGAUCAGACCUGCCCAUCACCUAAGAAGGUACGGUAUUUGAUUUAUCAUUAAAAAAUAAAGAUUACAAGCCCGAGGUUGUAGUAAUGAAGUGAUAAGGACGCCUCAAAAUCAUACAAAACUGCGGGCCAAGAGCUUAACUCAUCAAUUAAAAAUAAAGCUCACAAGUACAGUCAGUCCAGCUCGAAAAAAGCUAACAGAGAGCUCAGUCGACUAAGUAGAUUCUAGUUCGGAUCGAUUAGAAGGCGAUAAAGAAAAACAAUACAGUGGAUCUUUCAGAAAAAGUUACGGAGCAAGCAAUUUGAGUACUUCAUUUAUAAUAAGGCAAGAACAGCUCGAGUAUGAACGCAAAGCAAAAAUUUCAUUAAAAGAAAAAUACAUUACAGCAGGUCAUAAAUACCAACACUACGGGAUAAAAGGCUAUCCUUAAAGGAUUUACAUGCCCAGAUACAUCAUCAUCUACGUUUACAUCACUAUCGCCUACCCCACUAUCCUAGCUUUCGAUUCAGACGAAUUCUCAUAGUUCGGAAGAGGAGCUUUGCAGGCCAACUAAGCUCUGUCUCGUUAUUAUAGGUGAACUGAACAAGUCAAUCCCCAUAAGCAUCCAUCAUUGUUCCGUCAUAGAUAGGCGUUCUGAAGAGCAAUUGAACAAGUGAAUGUUGCAAACCUACACCCAAGUGUGAUGCACGAUACACUCGUGCACACCUAGGAAAACCAGCGAAACAUUCUGAAGAGCAAUGGAACAAGUUAAACUUUCAAUAUCGUGAAACAAAUGCGGAAAGGCAUCAUCAGGAAGUGGGGCAGGCUUUGUUCCUGUCGACCUGAAGUUCUCGAUUGAUCUCAAAGCCCGAGAGGACCCAAAAGUUCGAACAAUUGGAGCAGUUGAGACUGGCCUGACACUGAUGUACAGCCUUGAAGAUUCGAAACCUCGAGAGCUCGGCAUGGAAGCCCGAGCUGGAGCAAGGGAAGGGCAAACCAUACCCCUUCCACACAACAAAGAAAACUAAACCCGCAUCUUUCGGGAGAUCGGUUGAACAAGAGGAAGGAAAAUCGAAAAGAGAAAUCUCGCUGUUUCGUUAAAUGAUCCCAAGGAUAAGAAGGAAAGGUUAGUAAUAUAUAGUCAGAGGCUGAGUACUUAAUGUGAAACAGAGCGACUUUAUACUCUAGGUUAGUAGCAUCAGAAUCCUUAAAGGCUAUUCACCAGAAAGGAAAGAAAACGUAUCGGAAAGAUAAAAGUAAGAAAGCGAGGAUAACAGUGCGCACAAAGAGCAGAGGAAAGCUAAGUAUAGAAAAAAGAUAGAGAAGAUUUAAAGACAAUAAGAUGAAAGGACAAGCCGAAUUCAAACAGACGCAGUCAUAAUGAUUCUAGGGGUUUACCCCCUCGACAGUUGGAGCAAUAACUGCCGAGAAGGUAAAGGGGCAAUUGAUGACCUCUGAGUUCACCUCACCCCAGUCUAGGGCCAGGCCCAUGAAUAUAGCCCAUUACUUAGAGAUCCUCAAGCCACUCACGCCAACUAGGUCCGGUCCGUCAAGCCUCACGACCGGGUUUAUCUGGCUCUCUCCACCAGACCGGCCUCGUCUUCUCUACGCUUUGGGCCGAUUCCAUUUAGGCCCUGCUUUGUUCCUAUUCUGUGGUCCAGCCCAGAAUCCGAAGGAGGAUUCAACCAUCUGCCUUGCAGACCCGCCUACCCAUGCCCCAAGAGAAUCAGAGGCCGUUACGCAUGGGGCAGAGAUUUGAUUCCCUCGUACGUCCGUAUCAACGUAGCAGGGACAGGUGGUCUAAUGAUACUCGUUCUAUUGGCAUGUCACUAGCAGACAAAAGGAAACCUAUAAAAGGAGAAAUACUCUCUUCUAGGUUUAAGUUUUUCCCAAGUUUUACAGAGCCCAUUGUAAAAACCCUAUUUUCUGAAUCUCAGAUCAUCAUAUAAUAUUUUUUUAGUUAAGUAAUAAGAAAAUUAAAAACAAAACUUAGCUGGUUGGGAUCCAACCCAAGACAUAACAGAGACUCACUAAUUCUUGCACCACUACCACUCGCGGAGGGGCCGAGGGGCCGAGGGAAGGAUAAUAUUGUAAUUUUGUACUAAAUCCUAACAAAAUAAAACCAAUCAUUCCAAAUAUUUUUUUUUUCAUUAAAUUUUCCUCUUAUAAUUCUAUUUACAUUCAUUUAUUUUUUUUCCAUAAUAAAGUUUUAUUUUAAUAAUUUAUUUUUACUCAUAGAUUUAAUUAAAAUCAAGAUUAUUUAUAAUUAUUCAUAUAGUUUUAUUUUAAAUUUUAAAAUUUAAAUUUUAAAUAAAUAAAAUAACGAUUAAGAUAAGUAUUUGAAGUUUUUAAAAAUUUAUUGAUUUGUUUGUAUUUAAAAACUAAUCAAUUACAAAACACCUUUGUAUUUUACAAACUCAAAUUUAUUUUUUCCAUUAAAAAAUAUAUUAACAUAUUUUAAAUAUUUAUAUUAUUUAGUUAAAUUAUAUAUUACUUAAUUUUUAAAAAUUUAAAAAAUAUAUUAUUUAAUAUAUCUAAUCAAGAUUAUAUCGAUAUAUUUUAAUUGAAUAGUAUUAAUAUAAAAAUAAAUUAUUAAAUUUAAGAAUAUGAAUUAUAAAUUUAUAAAAUAUGAGUUUAAUAGAUAAUGAAUUAGAUAAAAAUUAAUAUUUCUAUAGACUAUAAAUUAGACUAUUAAAAUUAUAAAAUAAAAAAUCCUAAAGACUCCAUAUUUAAUUUUUAAUAUGGACAAAAUGAUUCAAUUUCUAAAACCUUUUAUGUAAAUAUUUUUCUAAUUAGUCUACUUGAACUUGACUUUCUAAUUUAAGAAUUUUAUUUUUAUAUAUAUGUACAUAAUUUUUUUUUCUUAAAAGUGAAUAAAAUUAGAGGUAUGACAACUUUAAAAUAAGAUUUCUACAUGUGUCACCGAUCACCACACUGCUUAUCCAUUACUAAUUCAAAAAUUAUACUUCAUUAAUACACUUUUAGCGCAUAAAUGUUGUAUUCAUAUUGAAAAUUGGAGGAAUAUAGAAAAUUAUAACUUCUUUAUAAGAGAACAACCUUUCAUUUUCUUUUUUAAAAUUAAUAUUCAGCCUUUCGAGCAUAUUAACGAGUGGAGCUUGAGUUAAUUUGUUAAGGUGAUAAAAGAGAUUAUUAUGAAUCGAGCUAAAAUUUAAUCAUUUCUUUCUAAAUCGAGCUUGAGCUCAUAAAUGGAGGUCGAGUUUUCAAAUUUUUUUUUUUCUUCUCGAUUAUGAGCUUAUAAAAACUUGACUUGAUUCGAUUACUUCCCUGUGUUUAUAUAUAUAUUUGAUCAGAAAAAAUCACCCUUCAUUUGAUAUAAUUGAUUUUAUAAAAAAUAAAUCUAAAUAAAAAAAAAAUUCAAAUGAAUUCUUGUAAAUCAUGCAUGAUUUUUUGUUUUUAUUAAAUGAAUUUUUUUUUUUAAAAUCAUUUCAAGGGAUCUUGUCCUACUUGAAGAUUCAGCAACUUAGCAACAAACAACCUAAUCUAAGGUUAAGGAUUACCUCUUAGUGUCGUUUCUAGUCUCACUACAAUAAAAUAAAGCUAUUCCGAUAUAAAUUUAUAGAUAUAAUAUAUAAAUAUUGAUAAAUUAUAUAAGUAUAAAAUAUUUAUCGAUAUAAAUUAUAAGUAUUACUAAAUUUUGAUAAUAGUCAAGACUUUAAAAUAUAUGUCGACAUAUAGUUUUCUCCUGAUAGAAAAUUUUCAAUAUAAUAUAAGUAUCGGUAAAUUAUAUAAGUGUAAAAAAUUUUACAAUAAAAGUACAAGUAUCGAAAAAUUUUAAUUAUAUACCUGAUGAUACAUAACACUUGUUUAAAGUAGGUAGCGAGUUGUUACCAUAAGACGGGGCCACAUGACAAGGAUCUAAUAAACCCAUACCAGGUUCCACCCAUAGAAAGGAAGGCUUGGACGACCAUGGUGCCGAAACCAAGAGAAAAGAAGACCCGGGUGCUAUAGGUCGGACAGACUCGCCCUCUUACCUUCAAGGCAAGGCUCCAUAAGAAAAUUACCGUUAACAGUUACAAUCCAGCAGAUCCCCUUUACGUCUGCGAUUACGGGAGUUUCGACCAAUUAGCUGCUGAAGAUUCCUUACCAACGAGAUGACCAUAUCAUCAUCGGAUUAUCAGAAAAUGCUAUAUUUAUCUCCAUCUUCUUAUAGUAUAAAAAGAGAACGAUCACAAAGGCAAUGGCAUGCUAUUUUCUUAUACAAAAACUCUAAGUCAUUGUAUUCACUCUCUUCUUCAGUAUGCUAACUUGAGAGUUGGAGUGGCUAUCGUGGACACCCACCACCUCACGUUUUCUUCUUCGCAGGUCAAGCCAAUCACAGCGUAGCUCCAUUUCGGCCAUGUCAUCCAUUUAAUCUCUGCAAGCUGAAAAAUCCAUUGAAUUCUCUCUGUUUAUUUGGAUUGAAAUCGAUCUCUUAUCCCUUUUCUCUUAAAAAGAAAUCUCUCUUUUAUCUUUAGAGAUGACUGACAAUUCAUGAACUGCUGCCAAUGUUGAUACCGGUGAAGAUGCUAUCAUUUCUUCCACUCUUGGUAGUGGACAAAACACACCCUCUAUGGUCAACGAGGUAGAUUUCAAUAAUUUAAGCAUCAAGCAAAUGCUCUAGUACAUCAAAAGGUUACAAGUUAUCUUGAAGCAAUGCAAAGCUCGGGACAAGGCAUCUCUCAUGGCUCCAAAAAGAAGGGAGGAAGUCUCUACUGAUACCUCAAAGCCCCAAACAGAGGCAAUCCAGACAUAGUCCAAAGGGAAAGACAUAUUUAAGAAAGGGGAAUCCUCGGACGAUGCUCCUUAGAACGUGGACUGUAAGCCAAUAUGGGCUGUCCAAAGAUACUAGAAAGAUGAUAAAAAGACAAGUCAAAAGCAAGACCAAAAGGCAGAGAAGCAAGGAGAUAAGGGAGAGCUUAAAAGUUACCCAGUCUUUUGAAGAAGGAAUGAUUGAGGUAUAUAUAGGUAUUACACUCCCUUGAGUGACUCACGGACACAUAUUUUAGUGUGGAUCAGGAAAAAUGAUAAGGAAGUUAGAUGGCCUCCUAAACUCAAUCCUAAGAAAGUUGGGAAGCAAAAUAAGACCAAGUACUGCCAUUUUCAUAAAAACCAGGGAUAUGUAUCAGAGGAGUGCCGACAAUUGAAAGACGAAAUCGAAAGGUUAGUAAGAAACGACACAUUUUGGAAGUUUAUCAAAAAGAGUAGAAAAGAUAGGAGGUUCGAACUUGAGGUAAUAAUUUUUAAAACCACCACUGAUAGUAAACCUGUAGAAAUUAUUCAUUGCAGUGCAGGAGGAUCGAGUGUUAAUAUGGGUAGCAAUAAGGAGAAUGUCACAAAUAUUUAGCUCCUAGGUCGAACUCCGAGCAUUGAAAAUGGUCAAGUCAAAUGUCCGGGUCUUUUAUUUUAUCCUUAGAGAAAUAUUGCUGAUUUAUUAAAAUAUUAUAAAACUAAGAUGCAUUCUUCAAACUUAUUUUUAUAGGAAAAUAAAAAUCAUUGGAUGGAUGAAAGCAUGGAGACAAGAACAAAGGCCAUAAGGCAAUCACCAGGCCAUCUGGGCAUGGGUCCCACACAUAUCCGGGCAUGGAUCCCGCAUAUAAUUUGGACGAUAUUGGUCCAUGAAAAUAAAUUCAUAAAAGGUCACAAGGCCAUCCGAGCAUGGGUCCUGCAUAUAAUCUGGGCAUUGGACCGUGAAAACAAAAAUAAAAAAGAUCGAAGCUCCAUUGGGCAUGGGUCUCACAUAAUAAGGCAUCUCAUGCUAGGCCGCAAGAAGUUUCUAAGGCAUUUGAUACUAGACCUUAAGAUGGAUAUACGCUAUGCUGACCUUCCGGGUAUUAUUCCCACUUUACAGAAAGUUUAUAAGGCAUUUGAUGCUGGGCCUCAAGGCAGAUAUACGCCAAGCCGACCAACCAAGUGUUAAUCCCACUUCACGAGAAGUUUCUAAGACAUUUAAUGCUAGGCUGCAAUGCAGGUAUACGCUCUGCCGACCUUCUCGGUGUUAGUCUCGCUUCACAAAAAUUUUUUAAAGCAUUUCAUGCUAGGCCUCAAGGCAGGUAUACACCAAGCCAACCUUCCAGGUGUUAUUCCCUCUUCACAAGAAGUUUCUAAGGCAUUUGAUGCUAGACCACAAGGCAGAUAUAUGCCACACCGACCUUCCGGGUGUUAGUCCCGCUUCACAAGAAGUUUCUAAGGUAUUUUAUGCUAGGGCUCAAGGUGGGUAUAUGCCAGGCCGACCUUUUGAGUGUUAUUUCCGCUUCACAUAAAGUUUAUAAGGCAUUUGAUGUCAAGUCUCAAGGUGGGUAUGUACCAGGCCGACCUUCCGAGUGUUAGUCCCGCUUCACAAGAAAUUUUUAAGGUAUUUGAUGCCAAGCCUCAAGGCGGGUAUAUGCUCGGCCGACCUUUCGGGUGUUAGUUCUGCUUCACAAGAAGUUUCUAAGGCAUUUGAUGCCAGGCCGCAAGGCGGGUCUAUGCCAGGCCGACCAACCGAGUGUUCGUCUGGCUUUACGAGAAAUUUCUAAGGCAUUUGUUGCCAGACCUCAAGGUGGGUAUAAGCCAAGUUGACAUUUCGGGUGUUAUCCCUACUUCACGAGAAGUUUUUAAGGCAUAUAAUGUCAAGCUUCAAGGCAGGUAUAUGCUAGGUCGACAAACCAGGUGUUAAUACAUCUUCAUGAAGGCAUUUAAUGCUAGGCCAAUGAGCUCAUCAGGACUGAGAAAGGUUAGGAAGCUCGCAUGGGCUAGAGAAUGCCUGGAAGCUCGCUAGGGCUAGAAAAAUGCAAAGAAACCCAUCAGGGUUGUAAAAUCCAAGGAGCUUGAUAGGGCUGAGAAAAUGAUCGUAAGCUCGUAAGGGCUGUAAAAAUACACGUAAGCCCGUCAGGGCUAUAAAAUGCCAAGGAGCUCACAAAGGCUAGAGAAUAUCCAGAAGGUCGUCAGGGCUGAUCGGGGCAAGAAAAUGCUUGAAAGUACACCAAGACUGAAAAAUGUCUAGAAGCUCGAUAAGGCUGGAAAAGUCCAAGAGGGCUCGUAAGAGCUAGAAGAUGUCCGGAUAAUCCCUAGAGCUAGAGAGAGCCCAAAAACUCAUCAAGGCAUUAUGAUACCACUCGGAUCAAUUUUUGCCAUAAAGGACCUUGGACCUGACUGGUCGGUAGGGAAAGUAAGAAGAAAGUAAGGAUAUCAUGCGCUCAGCCAGACAAACAAGCUACAUGACCCAGAUCAUAAAGACAAUUGUCACCUUUGAAUAUAAAGAAUCGAAGAUCAGCGGGGGUCCUCUGAUGCUACAUAAGACUUGCCCAAAGUACGCAGUGAGCUGUCACCAUAACAUAGGGUCACGUGGCAAGGAUCUGAUAAACCGCUACGCAGUCUCACUUGUAUAAAGGAAGACUCGAACGACCAUGGUGCCUGUAACCAAGAGAAAAGAAGACCUGAGUUCUAUAGAUCGACCUCAAAUAGGAUAGACUCACCUUCUUAAUUUCAGGGUGACAUAAGAAAGUUAUCAUAACAACUACAAUUCAGCAGAUUCCCUUUACGCGUGCGAUCACGGAAUUCCCGACCGAUUAGUUGAUGAAGAUCUCUUACCACUGAGUCGGCCACAUUAUCACCAGAUUAUCAAGAAAUGAUAUAUUUUUCUCUAUCUUCUUAUAGUAUAAAAGGAGAAUGAUCACAAAGGCAAAGGUAUACUAUUCUCUUACAUAAAAAUUCUAAGCAAUUCAUUGCAUCCACUCUCUUUUUUAGUAUACUGACUUGAGCGUCAGAGUGGCUGCAGUAGACACCCACUACCUCACGUUCUCUUCUUCGUAGGUCUAGCUAACUACAGUGUAUCUUCAUUCCGGUUACAUCAUCAAUUUAAUCUCUAUAACAUUAAUACUAAUGCUUAAAAAAUUAUUAUGUUGCUAUAUUUUAGAUAAAUUAAUCUAAUUUGAUUGUUCAAUUUGAUUUCUUUAACCAAUUUGAUUUUUUAUAAAUAUGUUUGAUUUUUAUAAGUUGAUGCAAUUUUUAUAAGUAAGUUUAAUUUUUUAUUAAUCAAUUUAAUUUUUAUAAAUGGAUUUAUUUUCAUUUACUUUAAAAAAUCAAUUUUUUGAAUUAAUUUAUAUUUUCUGUUCGAUUUGGUUUACAUAUAACUUCGAUUUAUUUCACAAAAUAUUAGUUAUUUAAUUUUCAAUUAUUACAAUUCAAAUUAAUUUUAAACUGAAAAAUUAAAUUCAAUUCGAUUCAAUCGAAACAAAAACAAUCAAUUUUAGUUUGAAAUUGAAAUAAUUGAUUUUAAUUUGAUUUGAUUAAAACUGAAAAAAUUAAUUUUAAUUCGAUUCAAUUUGAAACCGAAACAUCGAUACAUAUUCUUAUUAAUGUUUUGAAAUGUAACCUAAUCAUUAAAUAUGUGAAAACAAAAAAUUAAGAGUUUAAGAUUUAAUUGAGAUUGAUCUAGAGUUUAAUUAAUAUAUUAUUAAAUUGUAUAUUUUUUUAUAAAAAAUAAAAAAUAUAAUAACUCAGUUUAAUUAAAAAUAAAUAAUUCAUAUUUAUUUAAAUUGUAUUUUUAUUUUUAUAAUCACUAAUAGUAAAUUAAUAAUUAUUUAUAUAAACAUAAAUUAAAGAGAAAUUGAUUAUAAUGAUAUUACGAUUAUUUAAGAGAGUUUAGAAGUAAGAGAUGUAUAAGUUACUUAAGAGUUUCUAGGAUCCAGUCUCAGUAUCAACGCAAUAUAUGUAUAAUGAUAUUAUGGUUCCUGAGUUUUUAAGAAAUUCAUUAACCGAUCCUUAUAAUUUUUAACUUUAAUUAAAAUGUCUUUUAUCUUGAUAGUUUUUACACCUAACUUCAUCAAAACCCAAAUGAAAACUUGUUUGUUGAUAGAGAUCUCAAGAAGCCAAAAUCUUUACAGAAUCCAAGCUGAUCUGGUGCAAUGGAGAAUAUUCAACUGGUGGGUAUUGAAUGUGAUGGAAAACUAUUGAAGCAUGGGCGAUAGAAGAUGAUUCGACCUUUCGAUGAUGCCGGCAAUAGUCGUGUGAGAUGAGAACGAAGGAGAGAAGAACGAGAAAGUUAAUUUUCUAUAGCUGGGGAUGAAGCAAUUGAGAAAAAAGAAAGGAGAGAAAAUUACGACAAUUUUUUUACUUUUUAUGGUUAAUAUAUUUAUGUUCUAUUUGGUUGUAGUGUAUAAUAUUGGAUAAGGGUAUUUAAGAUUUUUUACAUACAAUUAACGGAAUCUUUUAAUGAUUUUUGAUGAAAGAAUGCUAUAGUUGUAUUUUAAAGGGCGAGAAACAUUUUAAUCGAAGCUAAAAGUUAUAAGAAUUAAUUAAUAAAUUUCUUAAAACUCUAAUUUUUCCAAAUAAAGAAAAAAAAAUACAAAACCUAUAUAUGAACUUGUCAUACAUAUAAAAUAUAAAUUUAUUAUUAUAUUAUAAAUAUUUAAUUUUUUUAGUUUAUUUAAGUAUAGUUUUUAUUUACAUUGAUUCUAGAAUUUAAAUAAAUUUAAAAUUCUUUAUCUUAUUUUAUACCUAAAUUAUGUCUAAUUAUUUUUAUUAUAAUUCAAAUAAUAUAUUAAAAAAUUGAUGUGCAACCAAUGAAAUAUAAAAUAUAUAUUUUAUCAUGUCAUAAAAAAUUAAAAAAGAAUUAUAUAUAAAACACCAAGUCUCAUAUAUUACGGCUAUAAAUUUUUUUAUUUUUGAAAUGAAAAAUUGAAAAUUGAAAUAGUAAAAUCUGAAAUCUAUCAGAUUUACUAAAAUAUAUUUACCACUAAACUAUAGCGGCAAGUGCAUAAUUCUUUAUAACUAUAUAGAAAUAUACAUUUUACUAAUUAGUCAUUUUCUUAAUUUAUAAAAUAUUAAAAAUUAUCAGAUAAAUAUAAUUAUUAUUUCAAAAUAUUUAUUAUAAAAUAUACAAAAUACGUUUAUUUUUAAUCAUAAAUUUAAAUUGGGACUAUUUUAGCUUGUUAAGAGAAUCAAAUCUCAAAAAUAUAUAUUAUCUCAUUUUUUAAAUUUAAUAAUAAUUUAGAUGAAAAAAAUGUAUGGAAAAACUAAUUUGUAUAUAUGUCGAAAGUGAAUAACUAAAUUAUUUGAUUUUAAAAAUAUAGAAAUUAAAAUUAUAGUUUCUUAAAAAUUUCAUAUCUAUAUUUAUAAUUUAUCUUAAAUAUUUCAUAUUUUAAUUUUUGUUAUUAUAAUUAUAAUUGAUUGAAAAUAUUUCGGUAUAUUAUAUUAAAUUUAAAAAAUUAACUAUAAUCAUAAAUACGCUCUAAUAUUUAGACUUUUUCAUCAAUAAACUUAUUUAAAAAAAUUAAAACAUAUUUUUACAGAUUUGAAAAAUAAACUUUGUAUUUCUUUUUAGAAUUUCACUAUCUAUUUUUUUUAAUACUAUAUUAUAAAUAUAUUAUUUUUAAGAGAAAGCAAAUAUCAAAUAUUAGAUAUGCUUGACAGCAUUCACUAAAUUUUCAUUUUUAUUAAUGUAAACUUGCUAAUAAUAAUAAAAUUGUGAUUAAUGAUUAACAUGUUACAUGUUUUAAUGGAAAAAAAAUAAUAAAAACGAAGAAGCGUACCUUGAAAGUGGCUGAGGCAGAAGGGCGAUGUAGGCAAAUUGAGCAGAGGACGGAAGAGGGCAAAGGUUUCAGGGAGACAGAAAGAAUUCGAAAGUGGAAACAUUAAUGAGACGAUGAGAUGUUUUGAGUAGACUUGUCCUUUAGUCAGCGCGGUCAUGAUGACUCUCGGUAUUUACCCCAUUAUCAGUUGGGCAAUAACUGACGAGAAGGUAAAGGGGCAAUUGAUAACCGCUGGAUUUCUUCACUCCGGACUAAGGUCAGACCCAUUAGGACGACCCAUAAUCUGAAGGUUUCUAAGCCUCCCCCAGGAACCGGGUCCAGCCCAUUCAGCUCAAAGACCGGGCACCAAUCAGCUCUUUCAGAAUAGGCCGGCUUAGCUCUUCCGGCCCGAUGGACAGAUCCUCUCCGGGUCUAGUCUCAACCUCAUCCCCCGGCUCAGCUCAGAAUCAGGAAGGAGUUCAGCCCCUUCACCUUAUGGGACCAUCCGCAUGCGCGCCCGAGAAGAAUCAGGGGGCCGUUACGCAUGGGACAGAGAUCUGAUUCCCUCGUACGUCCGUAUCAACGUAGCAGGGAGAGGUGGUCCAAAGAUACACGUUCUGUUAACACGUCACUAGCAGACAAAAGGAAACAUAUAAAAGGAGAAAUACUCUCCUCUAGGUCUAGGCUUUUUUCGGUUUUACAGAACCCAUUGUAAAACCCUAUUUUCUAGAUCUCAGAUCAUCAAGCUCUAAAAUAAAAUAAAAUUUAAGUGAUGUAAAUAAAAAAAUCUUAAAAUUAAAUGACUAUAGAUAAGAAUUACUCAAUUUUUUAUGAAUAUUAUUAUAUUGUGUAUAUAUAUAAUGCAUUCUUAUUCAGUAGAAAAUUUUACUUACUUUAAUUUUAGAGUUUAAAUAAUUUAAAAUUUUUAAUUAUAUAUUCUUAAAUUUUGUCAUUACGGUUCAUAAAAUUAUCAGAAUAAAUAAAAUUGUGACAAAAUAUUUUUUUUUUAUAAAAUUCAUUUUACAUUAGUAGUUAAUUUAGUUUUAGUGCGAUAACUUUUAUAAAAAUAUAAAAAUUUAGUUUCAAAAUUUAUUAAUUAAAAUUGAUGUGCAACCAAUGAAAUAUAAAAUAUAUAUUUUAUCAUGUCAUAAAAAAUUAAAAAAGAAUUAUAUAUAAAACACCAUGUCUCAUAUAUUACGGCUAUAAAUGUUUUGUUUUUAAAUGGAAAUUGAAAAUCUAAAUAAUAAAAUCUGAAAUCUAUCAGAUUUAUUAAAAUAUAUUUAUCACUAAACUAUAGCGGUAAGUGCAUAAUUCUUUAUAACUAUAUAGAAAUAUACAUUUUACUAAUUAGUCAUUUUCUUAAUUUAUAAAAUAUUAAAAAUUAUCAGAUAAAUAUAAUUAUUAUUUCAAAAUAUUUAUUAUAAAAUAUACAAAAUACGUUUGUUUUUAAUCAUAAAUUUAAAUUGGGACUAUUUUAGUUUGUUAAGAGAAUCAAAUCUCAAAAAUAUAUAUUAUCUCACACAUAAAAUAUGAUAAAGAAUAUUUCGAUAUUUUUUCGUUAAAUUUAAUAAUAAUUUAGGUAAAAAAAAUGUAUGGAAAAACUAAUUUGUAUAUAUGUCGAAAGUGAAUAAUUAAAUUAUUUGAUUUUAAAAAUAUAGAAAUUAAAAUUAUAAUUUCUUAAAAAUUUCAUAUUUAUAUUUAUAAUUUAUCUUAAAUAUUUCAUAUUUUAAUUUUUGUUAUUAUAAUUAUAAUUGAUUGAAAAUAUUUCGGUAUAUUAUAAUAAUUUUAAAAAAUUAACUAUAAUCAUAAAUACGCUCUAAUAUUUAGACUUUUUCAUCAAUAAACUUAUUUAAAAAAAUUAAAACAUAUUUUUACAGAUUUGAAAAAUAAACUUUGUAUUUCUUUUUAGAAUUUCACUAUCUAUUUUUUUAAUACUAUAUUAUAAAUAUAUUAUUUUUAAGAGAAAGCAAAUAUCAAAUAUUAGAUAUGCUUGAUAGCAUUCACUAAAUUUUCAUAUUUAUUAAUGUAAACUUGCUAAUAAUAAUAAAAUUGUGAUUAAUGAUUAACAUGUUACAUGUUUUAAUGAAAAAAAAUAAUAAAAAUGAUCGAAAUUAAAAUAAUAAAAAAUAUAAAUUGAAAUAAAUGGAAUAAGAAAAAUAAGAUUAACUUCCAUAUAAAAUAUAAAAUAUAAAAUAUAUAUAUAUAAUUUUUAAUUAAAUUUUUAUUCAUAAAAUAGGUGUAAAUUAAUUACAGUUCUAUACUAAAUAACGAUUGGUUAAAACAUCAAAUAAUCAAUGAUUAAUUUUUUUUAUUUACAAGAAAGUAAAAGCAAAAUGUAACAAUUAAAUAGAUAAGAUGGUAGUCUAAGAUUAUACAUUUUUAUCAAGUCAUACAAAAAAUAUUUUUUAUACUAUAAACGAUAAAAUGAACUAUAAAAUUACUACUCUCUCUCUUUAUAUACCAAUUUUUUAUCAGAAAAGUCUUCACUCCAUCAUUUAGAAUUAUAAUUAAAUCAUAUACAGAUAUGAGGGUUUUUACCUUUAUAAUUUCUUCUCUCUUAUUUACUUUCCUUUUGCUCCCUACUUCAACUGAACAAACGCAACUUUUUGACUAUGGGCGCAGAGCCGGCAUUCCUCGAGGAGGUGGUGGUGAAGAUCUGGGCGAGAUAUCUUCAGAAAAAGCAUUAGAUAAAAUGCUUAGUCAAUUACCAUUUGAAUAUGGGCACAUAGCCGGCAUUCGUCAGGGAGGUGGCGAUGGAGAUCCGAGCGAGAUACCUUCAGAAAAAGCAUUAGAUAAAAUGCUAAGUCAAUUGCCAUUUGAAUAUGGGCGCAUAGCUGGCAUUCUUCGAGGAGGUGGCGGUGGAGAUCUAGGCGAGAUAUCUUCAGAAAAAGCAUUAAAUAAAAUGCUAAGUCAAUCUCCAUUUGAUUAUGGGCGCAAAGCCGACAUUCGUAAGGGAGGUGGUGGUGGAGAUCUGGGCGAGAUAUCUUCAGAAAAAGCAUUAGAUAAAAUGCUUAGUCAAUUGCCAUUUGAAUAUGGGCGUUACACUUAGUAGAUACUACAUCAUCAGUUUCCAUCUCAUAUGGAAAAAAAUAAAAUAAAUAAAAAUAUGUGUCUUGUAUUUCUGUAAUCCUAUUUCCUUGCACAACGGAUUAUAGAAAUUAUUAUGUGUACUUCAAAUACAUGCAUAUGGACUUUCUCUACUGAUAAUAUGAAUAAUGUAUUUUAUAAUUUAAUAUGGGUAAUUUUCACUCAUAGUCACCUGCCUUUGAAC